UACGUAGGGUGCAAGCGUUGUCCGGAAUUAUUGGGCGUAAAGAGCUCGUAGGCGGUCUGUCGCGUCUGCUGUGAAAACUCAGGGCUUAACCCUGAGCUUGCAGUGGGUACGGGCAGACUAGAGUGCGGUAGGGGGAGACUGGAAUUCCUGGUGUAGCGGUGAAAUGCGCAGAUAUCAGGAGGAACACCGGUGGCGAAGGCGGGUCUCUGGGCCGAUAUUGACGCUG
rnacentral:rRNA from 1 species